ACUGUGGGACCGCCGCUGCUAAAGCGGAGGAAGGAAUGGGCAACGGUAGGUCAGUAUGCCCCGAAUAUCCCGGGCUACACGCGAGCUACAAUGGUUGGUACGAAUGGGUAUCUACCCCGAAAGGGGACGGGAAUCUCCUAAACCAAUCUUAGUUCGGAUUGAGGGCUGCAACUCGCCCUCAUGAAGCUGGAAUCCGUAGUAAUCGCGUUUCAACAGAACGCGGUGAAUACGUCCCUGCUCCUU
rnacentral:rRNA from 1 species